GGAUCCAGACUUUGAUCAUGGCUCAGGAUGAACGCUAGCUACAGGCUUAACACAUGCAAGUCGAGGGGCAGCGGGAUUGAAGCUUGCUUCAAUUGCCGGCGACCGGCGCACGGGUGGGUAACGCGUAUCCAACCUUCCGUACACUCAGGGAUAGCCUUUCGAAAGAAAGAUUAAUACCUGAUGGUAUCUUAAGCACACAUGUAAUUAAGAUUAAAGAUUUAUCGGUGUACGAUGGGGAUGCGUUCCAUUAGGUAGUAGGCGGGGUAACGGCCCACCUAGCCAACGAUGGAUAGGGGUUCUGGGAGGAAGGUCCCCCACAUUGGAACUGAGACACGGUCCAAACUCCUACGGGGGGCAGCAGUGAGGAAUAUUGGUCAAUGGACGAGAGUCUGAACCAGCCAAGUAGCGUGAAGGAAGAAGGUCCUACGGAUUGUAAACUUCUUUUAUAAGGGAAUAAACCCUCCCACGUGUGGGAGCUUGUAUGUACCUUAUGAAUAAGCAUCGGCUAACUCCGUGCCAGCAGCCGCGGUAAUACGGAGGAUGCGAGCGCUAUCCGGAUUUAUUGGGUUUAAAGGGAGCGCAGACGGGUCGUUAAGUCAGCUGUGAAAGUUUGGGGCUCAACCUUAAAAUUGCAGUUGAUACUGGCGUCCUUGAGUGCGGUUGAGGUGUGCGGAAUUCGUGGUGUAGCGGUGAAAUGCUUAGAUAUCACGAAGAACUCCGAUUGCGAAGGCAGCACACUAAUCCGUAACUGACGUUCAUGCUCGAAAGUGUGGGUAUCAAACAGGAUUAGAUACCCUGGUAGUCCACACGGUAAACGAUGGAUACUCGCUGUUGGCGAUAUACUGUCAGCGGCUUAGCGAAAGCGUUAAGUAUCCCACCUGGGGAGUACGCCGGCAACGGUGCAACUCAAAGGAAUUGACGG
rnacentral:rRNA from 1 species